rnacentral:lncRNA from 1 species
CAACAAAAACAUCAAUGAGAUUCUGAACUGGAUGGUGAUAGAAAGAUGGGGAUGGAGAGGACUGGACCGUGCCAUGGGAAGAGCCAAAGAGAGGGACUGCCACUGAUAGAUGAGGAAACUGAGGGCAAGAAGUUGUCCAGACUGGAGUCAGGAGGACCAGCAUUCAAAUCUGACCUUAGACACUUCCAAUCUAUGUGACUCUGGGUAAGUCACUUAAUUCCAGUUGUCUAGCCCUUACCUCUCUUCUGCCUAAGAUUCUAAGACAGAAAGUAUGGGUUUUAAAAAAAAAAAGUACUUGCUCAAGGUCACACAGGAAUAAAUGGAGGUGAGAUUUGAAAUUCA